UACGUAGGGUGCAAGCGUUGUCCGGAAUUAUUGGGCGUAAAGAGCUCGUAGGCGGUCUGUCGCGUCUGCUGUGAAAACUCAGGGCUUAACCCUGAGCUUGCAGUGGGUACGGGCAGACUAGAGUGCGGUAGGGGGAGACUGGAAUUCCUGGUGUAGCGGUGAAAUGCGCAGAUAUCAGGAGGAACACCGAUGGCGAAGGCAGGUCUCUGGGCCAUAACUGACGCUGGAGAAGCGAAAAGCAUGG
rnacentral:rRNA from 1 species